AGGAAGUAAAAGUCGUAACAAGGUCUCCGUUGGUGAACCAGCGGAGGGAUCAUUACUGAGUUUACGCUCUACAACCCUUUGUGAACAUACCUAUAACUGUUGCUUCGGCGGGUAGGGUCUCCGCGACCCUCCCGGCCUCCCGCCUCCGGGCGGGUCGGCGCCCGCCGGAGGAUAACCAAACUCUGAUUUAACGACGUUUCUUCUGAGUGGUACAAGCAAAUAAUCAAAACUUUUAACAACGGAUCUCUUGGUUCUGGCAUCGAUGAAGAACGCAGCGAAAUGCGAUAAGUAAUGUGAAUUGCAGAAUUCAGUGAAUCAUCGAAUCUUUGAACGCACAUUGCGCCCGCCAGCAUUCUGGCGGGCAUGCCUGUUCGAGCGUCAUUUCAACCCUCAAGCUCUGCUUGGUGUUGGGGCCCUACAGCCGAUGUAGGCCCUCAAAGGUAGUGGCGGACCCUCCCGGAGCCUCCUUUGCGUAGUAACUUUACGUCUCGCACUGGGAUCCGGAGGGACUCUUGCCGUAAAACCCCCCAAUUUUCCAAAGGUUGACCUCGGAUCAGGUAGGAAUACCCGCUGAACUUAAGCAUA
rnacentral:rRNA from 1 species